rnacentral:lncRNA from 1 species
CUUUCUACUAUAAAGACACAUGCACAUGUAUGUUUAUUGCAGCAUUAUUCACAAUGGCAAUGACUUGGAACCAACCCAAAUGCCCAUCAAUUAUAGACUGGCUAAAGAAAAUGUGGCACAUAUGCACCAUGGAAUACUAUGCAGCCAUAAAAAAGGAUGAGUUCAUGUCCUUUGCAGGGACAUGGAUGAAACUGGAAACCAUCAUUCUCAGCAAAGUAACACAAGAAGAGAAAACCAAACACCACACGUUCUCACUCAUAAGUGGGAGUUGAGCAAUGAGAACACAUGGACACAGGGAGGGGAACAUCACACACUGCGGCCUGUUGAGGGGUGGAGGGCUGGGGGAGGGAUAGCAUUAGGAGAAAUACCUAAUGUAAAUGACGAGUUGAUGGGUGCAGCAAACCAACAUGGCACAUGUACACUUAUGUAACAAACUGCACGUUGUGCAUGUGUACCCCAGAACUUAAAGUAUAAUAAUAAUAAAAAAAGAAUAGAUCAUAUGAUUAAAGAAAUAAAGAUAUAUAACAUUAUUUCACACCUGGGUGCUGUGGAGUAACAUUCAUACCACUACUUAUGAUUAUUUAGUAAUAUCUUGUUUAUGGAGGUUUUCAUAGCAAAUUUUCCAAUUGGAAUUUUAACACUACACCAAGGAACUUGUCAGUUUCAGUACGUGUGUGUGUCUAAACAGUGAUGAUCUUUGUGAGAUGGUGUACAAUCUGUAUUCCUGCAGCUCUUCCCUGUUUAUAAAAACAUUAUUUUUUUUUGUUUCCUGCAGUGGUCUUUUAGGGUAGGCAAGGAUCAUUACCCUCCAUUUUACAGAGCCUCAGAGAGAUCAGGGAACUUUCUGAAAGUCACAGGCUUGGUGGGCCUCAGGCAGGGCUUCAGAUGCAGACAUUUGGAUUUUGAGUUCUGAGUGUGAUCAGCCACUGCACACAGAGCCAGGAAUGGAACUUCCAGGCUGCCCGUUUUCACUUGGUACCAGAAAGGUAGGUUGGAGGUGAGGAGUGUCAGAAUUGCCCCUCUCUUGCUCACCUUCACAUUCCUGGCCAUGAAGGUGAGAAUGGAUCCAGACAAUAAUGUGUUUUCAUUUGUGGUUGCUUAUCUUUUGUCUCCAACUGGCAAGCUGGAAUGAUGUUGGCACCACACGACAACAGCAGGGAGUCACAGCCUUUUCAUAAAUGCAUGGAGAAAUGAGGCAUCAGCAGGUACAGGUUACAGUGACUCAGGUGGGGCACAGGAAUUUCAUGAUUUUAAAAAAGGAUUCCAGAUUCUUCUGUUCUCCUUGCCAAAGGCUAGUCAAUUUUCC